CCUACGGGAGGCAGCAGUGGGGAAUAUUGGGCAAUGGGCGCAAGCCUGACCCAGCAACGCCGCGUGAAGGAAGAAGGCUUUCGGGUUGUAAACUUCUUUUAUCAGGGACGAAGCAAGUGACGGUACUUGAUGAAUAAGCCACGGCUAACUACGUGCCAGCAGCCGCGGUAAUCCGUAGGUGGCAAGCUUUAUGCGGAUUUACUGGGUGUAAGGGGCGUGUAGGCGGGAACGCAAGUCAGAUGUGAAAACCAUGGGCUCAACCUGUGGCCUGCAUGUGAAACUGGUUUUCUUGAGUACUGGAGAGGCAGGCGGAAUUCCUGGUGUAGCGGUGAAAUGCGUAGAGAUUAGGAGGAACACCAGUGGCGAAGGCGGUCUGCUGGACAGCAACUGACGCUGAGGCGCGAAAGCGUGGGGAGCAAACAGGAUUAGAUACCCCAGUAGUC
rnacentral:rRNA from 1 species